rnacentral:tRNA from 1 species
GCGGGUGUAGCUCAGUGGUAGAGCACUGGCUUCCCAAGCCAGCCGUGAGGGUUCGAUUCCCUUCACCCGCU